rnacentral:rRNA from 1 species
GACAGAGGUGCCGAGCGUUAGGCGGAAUCACUGGGCUUAAAGCGUGUGUAGGCGGGCGAUCAAGUACCUUGUGAAAUCCCACGGCUCAACCGUGGAACCGCUGGGUAUACUGGUUGUCUUGAGCCGGCUAGGGGCGAGCGGAACAGACGGUGGAGCGGUGAAAUGCGUAGAUAUGCGGAGGAACACCGAUGGCGAAGGCAAUCCCCUGGACCUGUACUGACGCUCAUGCACGAAAGCGUGGGGAGCAAACAGG